rnacentral:rRNA from 1 species
GCACAGGAACGUGCCCAAUAGUGGGGGAUAACGCACCGAAAGGUGUGCUAAUACCGCAUACGCCCUGAGGGGGAAAGCGGGGGAUCUUCGGACCUCGUGCUAAUGGAGCGGCCUAUGUCUGAUUAGCUAGUUGGUGGGGUAAAGGCCUACCAAGGCGACGAUCAGUAGCUGGUCUGAGAGGAUGAUCAGCCACACUGGGACUGAGACACGGCCCAGACUCCUACGGGAGGCAGCAGUGGGGAAUUUUGGACAAUGGGGGCAACCCUGAUCCANCCAUGCCGCGUGAGUGAAGAAGGCCUUCGGGUUGUAAAGCUCUUUCAGUGGGAACGAAACGAUGGGCUCUAACAUAGUCCGUUAAUGACGGUACCCACAGAAGAAGCACCGGCUAACUACGUGCCAGCAGCCGCGGUAAUACGUAGGGUGCGAGCGUUAAUCGGAAUUACUGGGCGUAAAGCGUGCGCAGGCGGUUUCUUAANCCANAUGUGAAAGCCCCGGGCUUAACCUGGGAAUUGCGUUUGGAACUGGGANACUANAGUGUGGCANANGGAGGUAAAAUUCC